CGGAGGCGGAAUUGAUCGCUUGUAAAUUUAUAGUGUUUGGCGGCGUUGGUUACCGGAAAAUAAGGAUUCUAUAAUUAAGAAAAAAGUACCAAAGUCAUUGAAAGGCUAUUUUCAAUUGUCGAAAAA